rnacentral:rRNA from 1 species
CUACGGGUUGCAGCAGUGAGGAAUAUUGCACAAUGGGGGGAACCCUGAUGCAGCAACGCCGCGUGGAGGAUGACGAAUUUCGGUGUGUAAACUCCUUUUAUAUGUCAAGAAAAUGACGGUAGCAUAUGAAUAAGCACCGGCUAACUCCGUGCCAGCAGCCGCGGUAAUACGGAGGGUGCAAGCGCUACUCGGAAUCACUGGGCGUAAAGGACGCGUAGGCGGGUUGGAAAGUCAGGUGUGAAAUCCUACAGCUUAACUGUAGAACUGCACUUGAAACUUCUAAUCUAGAGUAUGGGAGGGGGAGAUGGAAUUAGUGGUGUAGGGGUAAAAUCCGUAGAUAUCACUAGGAAUACCUAAAGCGAAGGCGAUCUCCUGGAACAUUACUGACGCUAAGGCGUGAAAGCGUGGGGAGCAAACAGGAUUAGAUACCCCUGUAGUC